UGUCUGUCCACACUGGGGAGAGCAAUAUAAGCCAUCACUUUUUGAUGAUAUGUAUAACAAUGGACUGCAAGGAACAGAGAAUACAGACUCCCCAUUCUUCCUGACAUAAACUAUGUCCAUGGCAUCAGGAAUGCUGGUGAACUUGUUUCUGUCCGGAGGCUGACGAUAUUUCUUCUCACUGAUGAUUUCCGAAGCCCGCUUGUUCUUUUCUGCCUCUAAAGAACCUAAAGGACUCCAUCCUAUGCCUCUCAGCCACUCAAGGGAGCCCAGAGGGAGCCAUCCAAUGCCCUUCAUGAAGUCAGCAUAGUCAGCCUUGUACUGAUUCUGCAAAAGAGGAAAAAUUAAACUAUGAGAAGAAACUGAAACUUCCCAAGAGUCCUAAGUGUGUGUUUAAUAUUCUGUAACUUCCACUUCAUUUGUAACUUUUCUGUAACUUUUCCACCUCAAUAUUUGCUUGAAUAUUGGUAUUUAACCAAUAGCAUGUUGAACUUCAACCAUUUCUUCCCUAAACUUUUAUCCUUUUUAUAUUUCCUUGCAUGAUAAAUUAAAAAUAAGCAGAAAUGUC